rnacentral:rRNA from 1 species
GACGAACGCUGGCGGCGUGCUUAACACAUGCAAGUCGAACGGAAAGGCCCUGCUUUUGUGGGGUGCUCGAGUGGCGAACGUGUGAGUAACACGUGAGUAACCUGCCCUUUACUUUGUGAUAACUUCAUGAAACUUGUUCUAAUACCGGAUAUGAUCUCCUGCUGCAUGGUUUGGGUUGGAAAUUUUCGGCGGUUGGGGAUGGACUCGCGGCUUAUCAGCUUGUUGGUGGGGUAGUGGCUUACCAAGGCUUUGACGGGUAUCCGGCCUGAGAGGGUGACCGGCCACAUUGGGACUGAGAUACGGCCCAGAAUCCUACGGGAGGCAGCAGUGGGGAAUAUUGCAAAAUGGGCGGAAGCCUGAUGCAGCAACGCCGCGUGCGGGAUGAAGGCCUUCGGGUUGUAAACCGAUUUCGCAUGUGACGAAGCGUGAGUGACGGUAAUGGGUAAAGAAGCACCGGCUAACUACGUG